AUGGACACUGAAUGGGCUUCUGAGUUGUUCACGUUCACCAGGAAAAGACUGCAAAGGUUAACAAAGGCUCAGUAUGUUGUGUGUCUCCCUGGCAUCAUACGGUCUCUCUCUAGUGUCGUAUUGUGUCUCUCUGGUAUUGUAUUGUCUGUCUCUGGUGUCGUAUUGUGUCUCCCUGGCAUCAUUCGGUCUCUCUCUGGUAUUGUAUUGUCUGUCUCUAGUGUCGUAUUGUGUCUCCCUGGCAUCAUUCGGUCUUUCUCUGGUAUUGUAUUGUCUGUCUCUAGUGUCGUAUUGUGUCUCCCUGGCAUCAUUCGGUCUCUCUCUGGUAUUGUAUUGUCUGUCUCUAGUGUCGUAUUGUGUCUCCCUGGCAUCAUUCGGUCUUUCUCUGGUAUUGUAUUGUCUGUCUCUAGUGUCGUAUUGUGUCUCCCUGGCAUCAUUCGGUAUCUCUCUGGUAUUGUAUUGUCUGUCUCUAGUGUCGUAUUGUGUCUCCCUGGCAUCAUUCGGUCUCUCUCUGGUGUUGUAUUGUCUGUCUCUAGUGUCGUAUUGUGUCUCCCUGGCAUCAUUCGGUCUCUCUCUGGUAUUGUAUUGUCUGUCUCUAGUGUCGUAUUGUGUCUCCCUGGCAUCAUUCGGUCUCUCUCUGGUAUUGUACUGUCUGUCUCUGGUGUCGUAUUGUGUCGUAUUGUGUCUCUCUGGUGUCGUAUUGUGUCUCUCUGGUGUCGUAUUGUGUCUCUCUGGUGUCGUAUUGUGUCUCUCUGGUGUAGUAUUGUGUCAUAUUGUGUCUCUCUGGUGUCGUAUUGUGUCGUAUUGUGUCUCUCUGGUGUCGUAUUGUGUCUCUCUGGUGUCGUAUUGUGUCUCUCUGGUGUCGUAUUGUGUCUCUCUGGUGUCGUAUUGUCUGUCUCUAGUGUCGUAUUGUGUCUCUCUGGUGUCGUAUUGUGUCUCUCUGGUGUAGUAUUGUGUCAUAUUGUGUCUCUCUGGUGUCGUAUUGUGUCUCUCUGGUGUCGUAUUGUGUCUCUCUGGAGUAGUAUUGUGUCAUAUUGUGUCUCUCUGGUGUCGUAUUGUGUCGUAUUGUGUCUCUCUGGUGUCGUAUUGUGUCUCUCUGGUGUCGUAUUGUGUCUCUCUGGUGUCGUAUUGUGUCUCUCUGGUGUAGUAUUGUGUCAUAUUGUGUCUCUCUGGUGUCGUAUUGUGUCUCUCUGGUGUAGUAUUGUGUCAUAUUGUGUCUCUCUGGUGUCGUAUUGUGUCGUAUUGUGUCUCUCUGGUGUCGUAUUGUGUCUCUCUGGUGUCGUAUUGUGUCUCUCUGGUGUCGUAUUGUGUCUCUGGUGUCGUAUUGCGUCUCUCUGGUGUCGUAUUGUGUCUCUCUUUUGUCGUAUUGUGACUCUCUGGUGUCGUAUUGUGUCUCUGGUGUCGUAUUGUGUCUCUCUGGUGUCGUAUUGUGUCUCUGGUGUCGUAUUGUGUCUCUCUGGUGUCGUAUUGUGUCUCUGGUGUCGUAUUGUUUCUCUGUUGUCGUAUUGUGUCUCUGGUGUCGUAUUGUGUCUCUCUGGUGUCGUAUUGUGACUCUCUGGUGUCGUAUUGUGUCUCUCUUUUGUCAUAUUGUGACUCUCUGGUGUCGUAUUGUGUCUCUCUGGUGUCGUAUUGUGUCUCUCUUUUGUCGUAUUGUGUCUCUCUGGUGUCGUAUUGUGUCUCUCUUUUGUCGUAUUGUGACUCUCUGGUGUCGUAUUGUGUCUCUGGUGUCGUAUUGUUUCUCUCUGGUGUCGUAUUGUGUCUCUGGUGUCGUAUUGUGUCUCUCUGGUGUCGUAUUGUGUCUCUGGUGUCGUAUUGUGUCUCUCUGUUGCCGUAUUGUGUCUCUGGUGUCGUAUUGUUUCUCUGUUGUCGUAUUGUGUCUCUGGUGUCGUAUUGUGUCUCUGUUGUCGUAUUGUGUCUCUGGUGUCGUAUUGUGUCUCUGUUGUCGUAUUGUGUCUCUCUGGUGUCGUAUUGUGUCUCUCUGUUGUCGUAUUGUGUCUCUCUGGUGUCGUAUUGUGUCUCUCUGUUGUCGUAUUGUGUCUCUGGUGUCGUAUUGUGUCUCUCUGUUGUCGUAUUGUGUCUCUCUGGUGUCGUAUUGUGUCUCUGGUGUCGUAUUGUGUCUCUGUUGUCGUAUUGUUUCUCUGUUGUCGUAUUGUGUCUCUCUGGUGUCGUAUUGUGUCUCUGGUGUCGUAUUGUUUCUCUGUUGUCGUAUUGUGUCUCUGGUGUCGUAUUGUGUUUCUCUGAUAUAGUAGACUACUGGAAAUAUAAUACAAAUGUUCUAUCCAUUUUUGACGACAUCAUUUGGUUUAGGUAUAUUACAUGUAUUAUAUAUAUUUAUUUUCUUCAAGAUUUAACUCUCAGGUCACGGUCAUUAAAGGUGUUUCUAACCUCUAGGGUAUUUCCUGGUUAAAAUAAAGGUUGAAUAAAUAACUAAAGUCUGUAGAGUAAGCAUCUAGAGGUGGGUACAACUU
ensembl:lncRNA